rnacentral:rRNA from 1 species
UGCAAGUCGAACGGAAAGGCCCCUUCGGGGGUGCUCGAGUGGCGAACGGGUGAGUAACACGUGGGUGAUCUGCCCUGCACUUUGGGAUAAGCCUGGGAAACUGGGUCUAAUACCGAAUACACCCUGCUGGUCGCAUGGCCUGGUGGGGGAAAGCUUUUGCGGUGUGGGAUGGGCCCGCGGCCUAUCAGCUUGUUGGUGGGGUGAUGGCCUACCAAGGCGACGACGGGUAGCCGGCCUGAGAGGGUGUCCGGCCACACUGGGACUGAGAUACGGCCCAGACUCCUACGGGAGGCAGCAGUGGGGAAUAUUGCACAAUGGGCGCAAGCCUGAUGCAGCGACGCCGCGUGGGGGAUGACGGCCUUCGGGUUGUAAACCCCUUUCAGUAUCGACGAAGCUGUGAGGUGACGGUAGGUACAGAAGAAGCACCGGCCAACUACGUGCCAGCAGCC